CAGUCGCCGCGGGAAUACGAAGGGUGCAAGCGUUACUCGGAAUUACUGGGCGUAAAGCGUGCGUAGGUGGUGGUUUAAGUCCGUUGUGAAAGCCCUGGGCUCAACCUGGGAAUUGCGAUGGAUACUGGGCGACCAGAGUGCGGUAGAGGAUAGUGGAAUUUCCGGUGUAGCAGUGAAACGCGUAGAGAUCGGAAGGAACAUCUGUGGCGAAGGCGGCCAUCUGGGACAACACUGACGCUGAGGCACGAAAGCGUGGGGAGCAAACAGGAUUAGAUACCCCAGUAGUCCCUGUCUCUUAUAC
rnacentral:rRNA from 1 species